rnacentral:rRNA from 1 species
GACGAACGCUGGCGGCGUGCCUAAUACAUGCAAGUAGAACGCUGAAGGAGGAGCUUGCUUCUCUGGAUGAGUUGCGAACGGGUGAGUAACGCGUAGGUAACCUGCCUGGUAGCGGGGGAUAACUAUUGGAAACGAUAGCUAAUACCGCAUAAUAGUAGAUGUUGCAUGACAUUUGCUUAAAAGGUGCAAUUGCAUCACUACCAGAUGGACCUGCGUUGUAUUAGCUAGUUGGUGAGGUAACGGCUCACCAAGGCAACGAUACAUAGCCGACCUGAGAGGGGGAUCGGCCACACUGGGACGGAGACACGGCCCAGACUCCUACGGGAGGCAGCAGUAGGGAAUCUUCAGCAAUGGACGGAAGUCUGACCGAGCAACGCCGCGUGAGUGAAGAAGGAUUUCGGAUCGUAAAGCUCUGUUGUAAGAGAAGAACGAGUGUGAGAGUGGAAAGUUCACACUGUGACGGUAUCUUACCAGAAAGGGACGGCUAACUACGUG